GACGAACGCUGGCGGCGUGCUUAACACAUGCAAGUCGAACGGAAAGGCCCUGCUUGCAGGGUGCUCGAGUGGCGAACGGGUGAGUAACACGUGGGUGAUCUGCCCCUUACUUUGGGAUAAGCCUGGGAAACUGGGUCUAAUACUGGAUAGGACCAUGCUGCAGGUGGUGCGGUGGAAAGAUUAGUUUCGGUAAGGGAUGAGCUCGCGGCCUAUCAGCUUGUUGGUGGGGUAAUGGCCGACCAAGGCGUCGACGGGUAGCCGGCCUGACAGGGUGGACGGCCACAUGGGGACUGGGAUACGGCCCAGACUCCUACGCGAGGCAGCCGUGGGGAAUAUUGCACAAUGGGCGCAAGCCUGAUGAAGCGACGCCUCGCGGGGGCUGACGGCCUUCGGGUUGUAAACUCCUUUCAGCCAUGACGAAGCCCUUGUGGUGACGGUAGUGGUAGAAGAAGCACCGGCUAACUACGUG
rnacentral:rRNA from 1 species